GACAAUAAAGUUUAGAAAGUUUGAAGAAGGAGGAGAAAAAACCUCCCACGCCCCUUCGGCUACCCUGGCGCGGACGCCUGCGGCCCGGCACAUACAGAGCUCCAGCAGCAGUGUGCUCGCGGAGGCGUGGCAGGCGCGCCGGAAUGGGGGUCACCGUGGACGUGCACGAGGUGUUCAAGUACCCCUUCGAGCAGGUGGUAGCCAGCUUCCUCCGAAAGUAUCCAAACCCCAUGGAUAAAAAUGUCAUCUCUGUAAAAACUGUGGAGGAAAAAAAAGAUGUGUCAACAGGGAUCAUCUAUAGAAAGAGGAUUGCAGUCUGUCAAAAUGUGGUUCCAGAAAUUUUAAGGAAGCACUCUGGUGAUUGUUGGAAAAAGGUGAACAUUUUAAAGGUACCUAAUGUCCAGUUAGAAGAGGAAUCAUGGUUCAAUCCUCAGGAAAGGAACAUGGCUAUAAGGAGUCACUGCCUUACGUGGACACAAUAUGCAUCCAUGAAGGAAGAGUCUGUCUUCCGGGAAAGUAUAGAAAAUCCAAAUUGGACAGAGUUCAUUCAAAAAGGCAGGAUUUCAAUCACAGGGGCUGGUUUUCUCAACUGCGUUUUGGAAACUUUUGCCAGCACAUUUUUAAGACAGGGUGCCCAGAAGGAUGCCAACUACUGGGCAGAUCGCACUAUAAUUCCAAAAUUCACACUCAUCAGCCUGGCAUUCAAAAGUAUCAGUUGGUCCGUCUUAUGAUUCAUCAACAUUGAGCAUGUAUUUUGUGCCAGAUUCUGCACCAGACAAUAAGGAUUCAAACGGAAUUAGAAUAAUGGAGAUGCUGUUAAAGGAACAGUGUGGUGCCCCCUUAGCUGAAUAAAGAAUCAUCAGGAAGCUGUGUUGUGUCUACUUUUGCUCGAGAAUCUUUUCUCGGACACAACACAUCCAAAGACACAGUUUUCGAAAUACAGGUAUAAGAAUGCGGUGUUGGCAGCUUACAGAAGAGGAAACCUUUCUGCCGGGAUAUGACAUGAUACACUCCCCCUGGGAGCCGACCUCAGAUAGCGGCUCUCGUGGAGCCGAGACCUUCUGGCUGAUUCUUAUGGCAUAAUCUCUACUGUUUUACAAAUAAAGGAAAAAUCCCAUAGAAGGUGAUGUCUGCCCUCCUUCAGGAUGUCCUGCUGAGUGCCUGGUGGCGGUGUUGGGGCAGCCAAGGAUGAGCCAGAGGCAUGGAAAAUGCUACUUUUGCCUGUUUGUUCUCUCCAUCGUUGCUCAUAGGAUUCAUAAGAGGAUUCUGGGGCGAAUAAAGGACUUAAACCUGAUACCUGAUUCUUAGGUGGCCUGGAACAGACAGGAAUAUACCAUACCUGUGUUGAAGUUAAGCCAUAUUCACAGUAAUGUUGAAGAUUCUCAGAAAUCAGGAGCAUUUGAUUUCUCCCCAUCAGUACUACAUAACUGCCGUCAGCUAGCUUUUUUAAUAUAACAUGAACUGUGAUUGGUCCUUAAAAGAACCUGGGGAGUGGGGAGACAGGCUCCUUCUAACUCAUUCUGGGCUGUGGAGCAGAUUAUGUGAUCUCUCUGUUUUUCAUUGGGCAAAUGGGGAUAAUUGGGCACAGGUCUUUCUACUUGUGAUGAUUAAACAAGGUUGUUUGGUACGAAAAGCACAGGUUUGGGAGUCAGAAGGACUCUGGUUUGAAUCUGAGCAGGGCCACGCAGCAGCUUGGUGAUUACGUAUGUAAUUUAAAAUCUUUCUUAAAGAUCUUUCCUAGAUUCCUUUUUUAGGUUUAUAAAAUGGGAUUGUAGAGUUAACCUUAUGAGGCUGUUGGAACAAUUGGAGAUCAUGUGAUAAAGUGCCUAGCAUGCUACCUGGUACACAGAAAUAAAUAGAAGCUAUUAUUAGUACUUGAAACCAUUUUGGAAAUAUACUUUUCUAACGUUAGGUAAUGUAGUAGUAUUGUUUGAAAAUUAGGUGACGGUAGUUUGCAUUCCCCAUGAUCCAAAGCCAAAAUGUAAAUGCACACUACCUAAAAGAAAGCUUGAAGAGGGGCAGUAAUUUGGAAUUCAUUGUCUUAAGUUAAAACAAGUUGGGCCAUUACUGGAAAGUCCUGGGGAAAUUAUUAUUUUUUUUAAUAUUUGAAAAAUUUUCCAUUUAGUGAAUGAUGAAUUUCAAAGCAAUUGUUUUUUUAAAUUUAUUUUUCUUUAUCUUUUUUUAAACUUUAAUACAAGCCUGCCACUGUGAGCUCCUCUUAUUGCAUUUGAGCUGUUUGUGCUGCCUGAGUUUUGUGUCUUAGGAUAAUUUCCCUUCAUUUCCUUAGUGUUUCAUUCUUCAGUUGUGUUGGAGGGAAAAUGAAUGGUAGAAACCAGAAAACACUUUGACCUUUUUCCAGUUUGUAAAUGGCAUUUGGUAGGCUUUAGGAAUAAGAGCGCAUUUACACAAAUAAAAGGUGAUGUGAAUUAUCACAGAGGUGAGAGGGGAGAAAUCUGUACUUGGAGGUUGACGUUAGAAUAAAUGUAAUUCUGGGAGUUCCCUGGUGGCCUGAUGGUUAGGACUCCAAGCUUUUCACUGCCAGGGUCUGGGUUCAAUCCCUGGUUGGGAAACUGAGAUCCCGCAAGUCUCCUGGCACAGCCAAAAAAAAAAGAAAAAAAAGAAAGAAUGAAUGUAACCCUUCAUACUCAACAACUUGCAUUCUGUGAAAGCAGUUCUCAACCUUGACUGUCCAUUAGAACCACCUGGGAGCUUUCUGCACUCCUGCUGCCUACCUUACAUCUGGGACUAAUAAGUCAGAAUCUCUGGGGGUGGAACCCAGUCAGCAGUAUUUUUUAAAGCUCCCUAGGUGAUUCCAAUGGCCAGCGAACACUACAGUUCUGGGUGAUUUGCAGAUAUUAUCUGAUUGCUUUCUUCACAUCUCCAAGGUAGGAAAGUAUCUUUGUAGUAAGAAUUAUUGUUAGAGUGAAGCACAGAGAGGCUGAUUUUUUGCCUUAAUUCCUUGAAGCUGACGUGGCCAGUGCAAAUGCCUGCAGGGGUCUGGCAGGUGAAGUGAUGUGUGCAGCAGGCUGGCGGCCAGUGGGGAGACCCCAGGAGUACGUGGCUGUGGUGAAAGGUGGGCAGCUGCUGCCCGGCUCCAGCACAGUGUUGCCAAGUGGCUGGUUUUUCUAGUUCUUCCAAUUUCCAAUUUUCCAGGAAAAGAUAGUAUUAAAAAAAAGAAAGAAAUCACCCAAUUUUUAUGUGUUGGUAACGAAUUCAGGAUUGUUUAAAACAUUGUGCCUGCCAAACAAAACACGUUUGCCAGUAGUUUCCAGCCUUUGCUUCAAGAGUGUUAAGGACCAGCUUAAACAUCUCAGCCAACUUUUAAGAGAUUAGCGUUUCCCUAUUCUGGUUGUACGCUGCUUUCUGCCUCUCCUCCAAGACUGCUUUUACAUGUAUUUUCCUCCCCAUUCCCAAGCAAUCCUCUGAACUUGCAUCAGACACUUAUCCUCAGUUUCCCCGCCCCCCA